CGACCGCCGACUGGGCCGCCAUUAUCCCCCCUCCAACCAUUACCUCCUCCUCUUCCUCUUCUCCAUCCCCCUCCGCCCUCACCAACUCCUCCCGUCUCGAUUCGCGACACGAAUUCCUCCGAGGCCAGGCCAAGAGCUGGGGGCGAGGCGAGGGACGGACGGACGGGGAUUGCCUCGUGAAGUGAUCCGACAUACCCACGCUCCGCGGCUUGGGAUCCGAACCCCAAUCCCGAGCGGGAGAGAAGGCUGAAAUUGAAGGCGUUCCUUAGGCGUGGAGUUGGAAUUUCUGAGGACAGGAACGGUCUACCCGGUGCUGCGGUACCUGUUCUUGUUGGGCAAUUGAUCGGUUUAUGACUGAGCUGGUAUGAGAUGAAGUGAUUGGAGCCACAACUUGUCUGUAGAGCAGCAUUUUGGUUCAGAGAGGUGAUGUCUUUUGCUUCACUCUAGAACUGUACAUGCGCGACAUAUUGAGCACCUGCAAUGGCACGAAGAAAUGCUGGGGCAAUGCAGCGAGAGGGGUCGGUUAAGGACUGGUCGGAAUUCGACCCCUCACCGUCUCCCAAGAUGGCGUACUCGCAGUCCUAUGUUGCAAUGAGAGGGGUGCUGACUUCGCUGGCUUCGCUUGACCUUGUCCUGAUGUCGAGCAGCCUAAAAUCUGCGUGGGCAACUAUAUCGUCCCACAAGCAUGCUAGGUCCUUGGAGAGGCCAAAGUCAAAGGGGAUGGGCUGGAAAAAGGCCAUGAUCAAUCUAUUCGUGUGUUUCAUGAUUGGCAUUUUCAUCGGAUUCACGCCGCUCUUCUCUGCUGAUUUGUCAAACAAAAUGCCUGCUGAAAAGGACAGGCUUCCAUUUGAUGGAGAUGUGAUUGAUAGACGACAAAUGGUAGAACAUCAAGGCACCAAGCUGGAGCCAUUUGUAGCGGAGGCUGAAUCUGAAGCGGUUAAUGAGCCACAGGCUGAGGAGAGUCCCCCAGUUCCUGCAAUGUUGGAUGAUGAGGCAGAUUUUGUUGAAGCCUUGCCUAUUGUACAUUCUGUUAAUGAUUCUGGCAUUGUUGCAAGAAAGCAACUGAUAGUUGUGACAGCAACAACAGUUCGACCACACCAGGCAUAUUACCUUCAUCGUCUGAUUCAUGUCUUGAAGGAUGUACCGCCUCCUCUUCUGUGGAUAGUGGCAGAGUGGCCAUAUCAGUCUCGUGAAACAGUAGAAAUCCUGAGGUCUUCUGGGAUCAUGUACAGACAUAUUGUAUGCAAUAGGAAUGUUUCAAAUAUUAGGAAGAUUAUUGUCUGCCAAAAGAACAAUGCAAUAUUUCAUAUAAAGAAGCAUCAUCUAGAUGGUAUAGUGCAUUUUGCCGAUGAGGAGAGAGCAUACUCAGUCGAUCUAUUUGAAGAAAUGAGGAAAAUCAGGCGCUUUGGUACAUGGCCAGUAGCAACACAUGUUGGGACUAAGUAUAAAUUGGCUUUGGAAGGCCCCCUUUGUAAGGGUGAUCAGGUCACUGGAUGGCAUACAAACCAGAAGAGCAGUAUGCUUCGUCGAUUUCCAAUUGGCUUUUCUGGAUUUGCUUUUAACAGCACUAUUCUUUGGGAUCCUAAGAGAUGGAAGAGCCCUACUGUAGGGUCUAUUAUACUCCAUUCAGGUGGAAGGGGUGGCUUGCAGGAGUCAAGAUUUAUUGAGAGGCUUGUCGAGGACGAGAGUCAAAUGGAAGGCCUGGCAGACAAUUGCACCCGGAUUAUGGUCUGGAAUUUCGAUUUGGAACCUCCUCAACUCAAUUACCCUACUGGCUGGUUGCUGCAGAAGAACCUAGAUGCUACGUAGCUGUCUCGGUGCCCCAUCUUUUUGUUUGCUCAUACUAGUGUGAGUGACGCCUUCCUGAACUUGGCAGCGCCCAGGAUCACGCGAAGCUGCUCUCUGCCAAGACCUGAUUCAGAAUAAUGUCACACCAGUAAAAAGUUCAAAGAAAGAAGCCUGACAAAAGAACAAACCCCCCUCACUCUCCAUUCUUUCCAAAGUUCAUUUCUUACUCAUAUUCAUCCAGCUAGAUUUAGCCCUGUAUAUUUACCCUUUCUUUGUUUCGGUUCAUUAUUAUACAUGCAUAUAUCACCUUACAGAUGCGGAAGUUUGUCACCGUUGCAAUUGUUGACAGAUAGAUAUACACUCUCUUGAUACAUGAGCAAAAGCAAAAGCAAAAUCACAGAUUGGGUUU
rnacentral:rRNA from 1 species